CUUUGCCUUAUCGAUUUCUGUGUUCUCAGUGUCUUGUAGAAAAGGCCUUGCUCAUAGCACAUGCUCACUGUUGGAUCAAUGGGUGGAUGAGUCUUUUGUUGACAUAAGCUAUUGAAGAAGAGAUUGAAUCACAGUAUCACAAUGAAGAAUUUAACCUGCUGAAAUAUGAAGAAGAAUAUUGGAACUUGAGGAAAGGAAAGAAAGAG
rnacentral:lncRNA from 1 species